CUUGAGCCGUGGCUUUCGGAGCUAACGCGUUAAGUAGACCGCCUGGGGAGUACGGUCGCAAGAUUAAAACUCAAAUGAAUUGACGGGGGCCCGCACAAGCGGUGGAGCAUGUGGUUUAAUUCGAUGCAACGCGAAGAACCUUACCUACUCUUGACAUCCAGAGAACUUUCCAGAGAUGGAUUGGUGCCUUCGGGAACUCUGAGACAGGUGCUGCAUGGCUGUCGUCAGCUCGUGUCGUGAGAUGUU
rnacentral:rRNA from 2 species